rnacentral:rRNA from 1 species
GACGAACGCUGGCGGCGUGCCUAAUACAUGCAAGUUGAGCGCUGAAGGUUGGUACUUGUACCAACUGGAUGAGCAGCGAACGGGUGAGUAACGCGUGGGGAAUCUGCCUUUGAGCGGGGGACAACAUUUGGAAACGAAUGCUAAUACCGCAUAAAAACUUUAAACACAAGUUUUAAGUUUGAAAGAUGCAAUUGCAUCACUCAAAGAUGAUCCCGCGUUGUAUUAGCUAGUUGGUGAGGUAAAGGCUCACCAAGGCGAUGAUACAUAGCCGACCUGAGAGGGUGAUCGGCCACAUUGGGACUGUGACACGGCCCAAACUCCUACGGGAGGCAGCAGUAGGGAAUCUUCGGCAAUAGACGAAAGUCUGACCGAGCAACGCCGCGGGAGUGAAGAAGGUUUUCGGGUCGUAAAACUCUGUUGGUAGAGAAGAACGUUGGUGAGAGUGGAAAGCUCAUCAAGUGACGGUAACUACCCAGAAAGGAACGGCUAACUACGUG